UCAAACCAAUCUUACGGUGGUGAAUUGAAUAAUGUAUAAUGGAGACAUACCAUAACGCCAUGGCCACGGACAUAGACAUCAAUUGAACUUUAGUUUUCUGCCGUAACCAUAACAAAACAAACGAUUGUUUAUUUAUUUGUAAUUAUGCUAUUGUGUUCUGAUAUUGUUAAGUUUUGAUUAAAUAUUUUCGCCUGCACUUCAGUUUACACUUCUUUGAAUGAUUAUCUAGAUAAUGGAUGACAAAAAGCUAAUUGAGUCUGUUCGAAACUGCCCUUGCCUGUAUGAUAAAACCCACAAAGACUUCAAGGAUAGGGAGAAAAAACGACGAGCUUGGAUUGAAGUUGCCAAUAAUUUGGACGUUGAUGAAACUAUAGCUAUGAAACGCUGGGGAAAUUUGAGGGAGCGAUUCAGCAAGGAGAUACGAAAUCCGCAAAACACCUCUGGAAGUGGAAAGCAGUGGGCCCUAUUAGAAAGUCUGCAAUUUCUACGAAGUCAUAUUAUCUCCCGACCUAUAUAUUUUUUUACAGCAUGCGACAAAGUGCCCCAAUAUUGAAAACCGACAUUAAACCAGAUAUUCUUAACGAAUCGUCGUCAUCAUCUUGUGUUUUACCUGUGCAAUCUGUUCAACUUGACUCCGAAGAAUCAACUUCAACGUUUCUAAUGCAAUCAAAUUCAAUUUCGCCCAUUAAGUCUUGGCCAUCAACGUCACGGAUAAAAAAGCGAAAGUCCUCUCUACAGCUUGGCGAAAUGGACACCACUAUAGGGGAGACAGUAAAAACAUUUCAGGAAAUAUCUACACGAAAGGCACACCGAGAAGAAUUUAGUUUGGAGAUAUGCGGUUUUGGUACAAUGAUAUGCUCGGCAAUUUCAAAAAUGAAAAAAUCCACCCAAGCUGCUGUGAUUCGUCGUUGCACGGAUAUUGUUAUGCAGGCGCAGAUUGACGAAGACCAACGGGAAUGAAAAAAAAAAAAAAUAUUUAAUUAUAAUGCAUUGUAAUUAUAUUCAUAGAAAUUAUCUCUGAUGCUGAAAUCAAAGUACAAAUAAUAUAGUCAUAAAAUGAACCACUACUACAUUAUAUAUGUAAUAACCUAUUAAAUUUAAGAAUUAAAUACAGUGGAAUAUGAAUUUUGAAAUA